UUUGGAUUGAACUUGAGAGUUUGAUCCUGGCUCAGAACGAACGCUGGCGGCAGGCCUAACACAUGCAAGUCGAGCGCCCUGCUUGCAGGGAGCGGCGGACGGGUGAGUAACGCGUGGGAACGUGCCCUUCAGUUCAGAAUAGCCACUGGAAACGGUGAGUAAUACUGAAUACGCCCUUAGGGGGAAAGAUUUAUCGCUGAAGGAUCGGCCCGCGUUGGAUUAGCUUGUUGGUGGGGUAAUGGCCUACCAAGGCGACGAUCUAUAGCUGGUUUGAGAGGAUGAUCAGCCACACUGGGACUGAGACACGGCCCAGACUCCUACGGGAGGCAGCAGUGGGGAAUAU
rnacentral:rRNA from 1 species